CUUACCAUAGAAUUUCAGACCGUACAUACAAACAUCACUGACUGAUAUCACUAUGCAUGAAGAAUUUAUUGUAUGCGAAGUAUUUUUGUCACUUUGCCAAACCAGUGUUAUAAAAUUUCGUGUAAGAUAUUUUUUACCCUUCUGUGAUCUUAUUACUGCCAAAUAUAUUUUGAAACCUUUAUCAAAAAAACAAACAAGGUGUGUUUCGACUCGCAGUUGUUGUUUUUCAGAAUCAGUUUUCUUGGUAUUUCUCGAUUACAAGUGAUGGCAAAAAGGACGCAAUAUGUGUUGUUAACGGCAAAACACAAUAAUUAUUUACUAUACUCGUAUGCAGGGUUACUCCAGUUUUGAUUAUUUAUUUACUGGAUCAAUAGAUUCAAAUAUUUUUGCUUUGAGACUGGAGACAAAAGUGACGAUUUCACAUGAUUUCAUAAAUUCAGUGAGUUUGACAAAGAUAUCGCAGACAUCUCUUCAACGAUGGGCACAUUUUUAUUAGUAGAGUAAAUCGUUCGAACCAUUACGGAAAAAUAAAGGAAGUGGUAACGGCUUCAUUACACGUACAUUACAGAUGACCACAGUUCCAUGUAUACAUACACAUACUACCAUUUGGAGGAUUGUCAAGCGGUGAAUAAAACCAAGAAAAAAGUUUUGCCUAUAUGGCGAAGAUAUAACUAUUUAUGACACAUAUAACGUAGCACUUACUCUGGACAAGGCGCAAGAAACGGCUUGCUAGCAACCAACUCCGCGAAGUUUUCUAAAGCCAACUGGCCUUUCUAUGAACCCAACUACUCGACGUGUUUUGUUUAUGGAAUCCACACGUAUACGCAUAUGGAGUUUACGAAUGUCUUAAAUUUUUAUAUUACAAUAUCCACUAGGUACAUUGUAAAGAAAUGGAUGGCAAGAUACUUUCAAAAAUGUUUUCGAUAUACUGUAGUUCGAGGGGUAAUUAAUUAAUCAAAUGCAGGAUUAGACAAUGAUUAGGUACGGAAUAUUUAAGGUGACCAAAAUGGAUUACUGCCAUGGGAAGGAACAUGACACGAGGCGCAAAUAAUGGUUUACAAAAUAUGUUAUGCGGCGGAUUCAAAUUCGCGCACAGGUAGAUUUUUACGAUUGCUGAGCGGCCGGUGGAGUUUGCGACCGAAGGAUUAAGGAUUAUUUUGUUUAAAAAGUGUUUCCUGGUCGCAAUUAACGACUGGACUUUCUUUAACUACCUUAUUCUUAUUCUUCGUCCAACGAAUGCAUGUGAAUCGUGUUACUUUUUUUCAAUUUCGUUACUUUUCUAUAAAUGGCUUAAAAAUUGUCACAUAGACAUCAGUUACAUCAUGCAAGAGUUGUAAAAACGUUAAACUCAUUUAUGAUAAAAAAGUUCUACAAAAAUGCAGUUUACUGACAGAAAAAUCUACAAAAUUUAGUCAAAUAUAACUUCUAGGCAUGAAUUUGUGAAAUGUGUUUCCUAUCAAUUCAAAUAUAAAUAAACUUUUAAAAAUC